rnacentral:lncRNA from 10 species
CAAAUCUUCAUUACUCUUUUCUCUUCCACUAUCUGCAAGCAGAGAAGUCUGAGGUCCCAGGGACUGGCAAAGCCACAGGAUGAAAGGAACUUGAGGCUCUCCUUCACUACCUGCAGGAAAAGCACCUGUCGCAACAAGGAGCCCUUGCACUGAAUGGUUGCAUAAGUAACUACCCACCUUCUAUUGCAUGCCUGGCACAUGCUAACCAAGCUUUACCUCUGAGGAGCUCACAGACCAACAUUCCUCUGGAGGAGGGAGCAGGUUUUGAUGAUUUUUUACUCCUGAGGGCCCAAAUGAGGGAUGCUUUCCUCCAGAGAUUUCUGUCUAGUUCUGCUGUGAAUCAGGUGCACCGAAGACUUGAAGACAUAUCCAUCACCUUUGAGCAUCUCAUAUCUGCAAGGACUGCCAAGCUCAACUCCUCCACCUUGCUCUUUGUCCUAGGCUCAGGAGCCUAAUUGCAAUGGUAAUUGGUGCUCAUCCUCAAGGCCAGCAAACCUCUUCAUUUGAUACACUGCCAGCUUAUCCCAACUGUAUUAGUCUGUUCUCAUGCUGCUAAUAGAGACAUACCUGAGACUGGGUAAUUUAUAAAGAAAAGAGGUUUAAUAAACUCACAGUUCCACAUGGUUGGGAAGGCCUCACAAUCAUGGCAGAAGGUGAAGGAAGAGGAAAGGCACAUCUUACAUGGCAGUGGCCAAGAUAAGUGUCAAGCAAAAGGGGAAAACCCCUUGUUAUAAAACCAUCAGAUCUCAUGAGAACUCACUCACUACCACAAGAACAGCAGUAUGGGGGUAACUGCCCCCAUGAUUCAAUUAUCUCCCACUGGUCCCUCCACUACACUUGGGGAUUAUGGGAACUACAAUUCAAGAUGAGAUUUGGGUGGGGACACAGCCAAACUAUAUCACCAACUUUAGAUUUAGCUCACAUUUUGAGGAAGACUGGCAGGUUUGAAGAAUUCCACGUACCUUGAAAGCCCAUUGAUGUGUCAAAAAGCCCAUGUUAUUGAGGACAGUCUUGUUUUGAUUUAUGACAGUGCCUUUGCACACUUGAUCUGCUGUUCUCCAGCAGUGGAAGUUAUUGUAUUAUUCUGUAUUAACCUUUUUACUUCUUUAGCUCUCAUAAAUACUGCAUGAUAAAGGUGACCGUAUUUUCUACUUUGAAGAACUAUUAUAAGCGUUAGGAUGCCUAGAAAGCUGCUAGCACUUAGUAGACGCUAAAUAAACAGUAGCUAACAACAACACUAAAGAUGAUUCAAUAUUUACUAAACCUAAUUGAACAUAUACUGAUGGUUAUAGGUGGAUAAACCUUGGACAUAUAUGAUAUCACUUAACCUUACAACACUAUAAGGUUGGUCAUGUUGUCUUUCUUUUACAAAUUAGGAAACUGAGGCUCAGUGAGUGUACCGAGCAGCAUUACUUUAUUAAAUGAUAUGAACUAUACAGUAGUGUCUAAUGGGACAUUUGGCUCAUCCAUUUAUUCAUUCAUUCUUUCAGAAAGUACUUAUUGAGUGCCUUUGACCCUGGGACUGUGGUGAUAUGUAAUAGAUGUUUGCCUUAUCAAGGUCCUGGAAAAAAGCUUCUUUGACAAUUCUCCCACCCCCUACACUGUCCCUGGGCCUCACAGUUUUCUCAGAAUGGUGAGAUCUGUGCAUCUCACUUUCCCCUGGGACUUGGAACCUCCAAGCAAAUGGUCCCUAGUAAUAACCAUUCUUCUAUAAAUUAAUGGGAGCUUGAGGGCCCUGAGUUAUAAGCACUGCGAUGCAACUUUGUUUUAGGACAGUUGUUUGAAUUAAGGUGCAGAUGUGAUGUGUGACUUGCAAUGUGUCAUUUAUAUUUAAUGUAGGCAUACCUCAUUCUUUUGCACUUUGCUUUAUUGCCCUUCACAGUUUUCAUUGUUUUUCUUCAGACUGAAGGUUUAAGGCAACUCCUAUUGAACAAGUCUAUUGGCACCAUUUUUCCAACAGCAUGUGCUUACUUUGUGUUUCUGUGUCACGUUUUAGUAAUUCUCACAAUAUUUCACACUUUUUCAUUAUUAUUAUAUUUGUAAUGGUGAUCUGUGAUCAGUGAUUUUUGAUGUUCCUCUGGUAACUGUUUUGGGGCACCAUGAAGUGUGUCCAGAUGAGAUCGUGAUCUUAACUGAUUAAUUGGAGCAUACAUGAAUGUACGCUCUGGCUGCUCCAUUGACCAGCCAUUCCUCCAUCUAUCUCUUUCUCUUUCAGGCCUCUAUACUCCCUGAGACACAACAACAUUGAAAUUAGGCCAAUUAAUACCCCAUACAAUGGCCUCUACGUGUUCAAGUGAGAGGAAGGAUCACAUGUCUAUCGUUUUAAAUCAAAAGCUAGAAAUGAUUAAGCUUAGUGAGGAAGGGGUGUCUAAAGCUGAGAUAGGUUGAAAGCUAGGCCUCUUGCACUAAUUAGCCAAGUUGUAAAUGUAAAGGAAAAAUUCUUGAAAGAAAUUAAAAGCGCUGUUCCCAUGUACUCAUGAAUAAGAAGAAAGUGAAACAGCCUUAUUCCUGAUAUGGAGACAGUAUUAGUGAUUUGAAUAGAUAAAACCAGCCACAGCGUUCCUCUAAGUCAAAGCAUGAUCCAGAGCAAAGCCCUAACUUUCUUCAAUUCUAUGAAGGCUGAGAGAAGUGAGGAGGCCAUAGAAGAACAACUGAAGCUAGUGGAGGUUAUUUCAUGAGGUUUAAAGAAAGAAGCUGCCUCCAUAACAUAAAAGUGCAAAGUGAAGAAGCAAGUGUUGAUGUCAAAGCUGCAGCAAGUUACCCAGAAGAUAAUUUAGGUGGAUACUUGAUGAAGGUGGGAACACUAACAACAGAUUUUCAAUGUAGGUGAAGCAGUUGUGUAUUAGAUAAGAAGAUGCCAUCUUGGACUUUCAUAGUUAGAGAGGAGAAGUCAAUGCCUGGCUUCAAAGCUUUAAAGGACAGGCUGACUCCCUUACUAACUGCUAAUGCAGCUGGGUGACUUUAAGUUGAAGCCAAUGCUGGUUUACCAUUCUGAAAAGCCUAGGGCCUUAAAAAUGGUGAUAAAUCUAUGCUGCCUGUGCUCUAUAAACGGGACAACAAAGCCUGGAUGAUAGCAUGUCACUUACAGCAUGGUUUAACAAAUAUUUUAAGCCUGCUGUUGAGACCUGCUGUUCAGAAAAAAAGAUUCCUUUCAAAAGUGACUGCUCAUUGACAAUGCACCUGGUCACCCAAGAGCUCUGAUGGAGAUGUACAUGGAGAUGAAUGUUGCUUUCAUGCCUGCUAACACAGCAUCCGUCCUGCAGCCCAUGGAUCAAGGAGUAAUUUCAACUUUCAGGUCUUAUUAUUUAAGAAGUACAUUUCAUAGGGCUAAAGCUACCAUAGGGCUAAAGCUACCAUAAAGCUACCACUACCAUAGAUAGUGAUUCCUUUGAUGGAUCUGGGCAAAGCAAUUGAAAACCUUCUGGAAAGGAUUCACCAUGCAGAACACGCAUGACUCAUGGGAGGAGGUCAUCGACAUUAACUGGAAUUUGGAACAAAAGUUGACUCCAACCCUUAUGGAUUACUUUGAGCGUUUCAAGACUUUGGUGGAGGAAAUAACUGCAGAUGUGGUGAAAGUAGCAGAGAACUAGAAUUAGAAGUGGAGCCUGAAUUGCUGCAAUCUCAUGAUCAAACUUGAACGGAUGAGGAGUUGCUUCUUAUGGAUGAGCAAAGAAAAUUUCUUGAGAAGGAAUCUACUCCUGGUGAAGAUGUUGUGAACAUUGUUGAAAUGACAACAAAGGAUUUAGAAUAUUCCAUAAGUGUAGUUGAUAAAGUGGCAGAGUUGACUCCAAUUUUGAAAGAAGUUCUGUGGUAGGUAAAAUGCUAUCAAACAGCUUGCAUGCUGGAGAGAAAUCUUUCUGGAAAGGAAGAGUCCAUUGAUGGGGAAAACCUCAUCAUUGUCUUAUUUUAAGAAAUUGCCACAGCCACCCCCAAUCUUCAACAACCACUACCUUGAUGAGUUAGCUGCCAUCAGCACCGAGGAAAGACCCUCCAACAGCAGAAAGAUUAGGACUUGUUGAAGGCUCAGAUGAUUGGUAGCAUUUUUUAGCAAUAAAGUAUUUUUAAAUUAAGGUAUGUACAUUGUUUUUCAGACAGACUACUACUGCACACUUAAUAGACUAGAGUUGAUAUGGUUUGGCUGUGUCCCCACCCAAAUCUCAUCUUGAAUUAUAAUUCCGAUAAUUCCCAUGUAUUGGGGGAGGGACCUGGUGGGAGAUAAUUGAAUCAUGGGGGUGAUUUCCCCCAUACGUUCUCAUGGUAGUAAAUAAAUCUCAGGAGAUCUGAUAGUUUUAUAAGGGGAAACCCCUUUUGCUUGGUUCUCAUUCUCUCUUGUCUGCCACCGUGUAAGCCAUGACUUUCGCCUUCUGCCAUAAUUGUGAGGCCUCCCCAGCCACAUGGAACUGUGAGUCCAUUAAACCUGUUUUUGUUUUAAAAAAAUAAAUUACCCAGUCUCGGGUAUGUCUUUAUCAGCA